rnacentral:rRNA from 1 species
AUUGAACGCUGGCGGCAUGCCUUACACAUGCAAGUCGAACGGCAGCACGGGUGCUUGCACCUGGUGGCGAGUGGCGAACGGGUGAGUAAUACAUCGGAACAUGUCCUGUAGUGGGGGAUAGCCCGGCGAAAGCCGGAUUAAUACCGCAUACGAUCUACGGAUGAAAGCGGGGGACCUUCGGGCCUCGCGCUAUAGGGUUGGCCGAUGGCUGAUUAGCUAGUUGGUGGGGUAAAGGCCUACCAAGGCGACGAUCAGUAGCUGGUCUGAGAGGACGACCAGCCACACUGGGACUGAGACACGGCCCAGACUCCUACGGGAGGCCGCAGUGGGGAAUUUUGGACAAAGGGCGAAAGCCUGAUCCAGCAAUGCCGCGUGUGUGAAGAAGGCCUUCGGGUUGUAAAGCACUUUUGUCCGGAAAGAAAUCCUUGGCCCUAAUACGGUCGGGGGAUGACGGUACCGGAAGAAUAAGCACCGGCUAACUACGUG